rnacentral:rRNA from 1 species
CAGUCGCCGCGGUAAUACGUAGGGUGCAAGCGUUAAUCGGAAUUACUGGGCGUAAAGCGUGCGUAGGCGGUUUGUUAAGUCUGUUGUGAAAUCCCCGGGCUCAACCUGGGAAUGGCAAUGGAUACUGGCAAGCUAGAGUGUGUCAGAGGAUGGUGGAAUUCCCGGUGUAGCGGUGAAAUGCGUAGAGAUCGGGAGGAACAUCAGUGGCGAAGGCGGCCAUCUGGGACAACACUGACGCUGAGGCACGAAAGCGUGGGGAGCAAACAGGAUUAGAUACCCCCGUAGUCCCUGUCUCUUAUAC